UACAGAGGUCUCAAGCGUUGUUCGGAUUCAUUGGGCGUAAAGGGUGUGUAGGUGGCGCGCUAAGUCGGGUGUGAAAUUUCGGAGCUUAACUCCGAAACUGCAUUCGAUACUGGCGUGCUUGAGGACUGGAGAGGAGACUGGAAUUCAUGGUGUAGCAGUGAAAUGCGUAGAGAUCAGGAAGAACACCCGUGGCGAAGGCGGCUCUCUGGGACGGUACUGACGCUGAGACGCGAAAGCGUGGGGAGCGAACAGG
rnacentral:rRNA from 1 species